ensembl:snoRNA SNORD29 Small nucleolar RNA SNORD29
UUAAUAUGAUGAAUUAAACUAACUCACUAUGACUGACACAAUGAAAAUGUGAGCAUCUGAUAAAG